UGGGGAAUUUUGGACAAUGGGCGAAAGCCUGAUCCAGCAAUGCCGCGUGUGUGAAGAAGGCCUUCGGGUUGUAAAGCACUUUUGUCCGGAAAGAAAUCCUUGGCUCUAAUACAGUCGGGGGAUGACGGUACCGGAAGAAUAAGCACCGGCUAACUACGUGCCAGCAGCCGCGGUAAUACGUAGGGUGCAAGCGUUAAUCGGAAUUACUGGGCGUAAAGCGUGCGCAGGCGGUUUGCUAAGACCGAUGUGAAAUCCCCGGGCUCAACCUGGGAACUGCAUUGGUGACUGGCAGGCUAGAGUAUGGCAGAGGGGGGUAGAAUUCCACGUGUAGCAGUGAAAUGCGUAGAGAUGUGGAGGAAUACCGAUGGCGAAGGCAGCCCCCUGGGCCAAUACUGACGCUCAUGCACGAAAGCGUGGGGAGCAAACAGGAUUAGAUACCCCUGGUAGUCCACGCCCUAAACGAUGUCAACUAGUUGUUGGGGAUUCAUUUCCUUAGUAACGUAGCUAACGCG
rnacentral:rRNA from 1 species